rnacentral:rRNA from 1 species
UACGGGGGGGCAAGCGUUGUUCGGAAUUACUGGGCGUAAAGCGCGUGUAGGCGGCUCUUCAAGUCGAGUGUGAAAGCUCCAGGCUUAACCUGGGAAUUGCGCUCGAUACUGUUGAGCUAGAGUGUGGAAGGGGCUACUGGAAUUCCGUGUGUAGCGGUGAAAUGCGUAGAUAUACGGAGGAACACCUGCGGCGAAGGCGGGUAGC